GUCCUCUCUCACAUCCUAAUGGUGGUGGUUGAACCAGGAGCCAGUUUAUUCCCAAAUGGUGUUCCUUGGCUCUAUGCUGUGUUUGCUGUGCUUUUUGUAUUUUUUCUUUUUGCCAUGUUAUCUCCCUUUUUACUUGAGAUAGACCAGCACAUAAAGAAAUGCUGUCCUCUGGAGUCACCAAGGAGAGGAGUUCUGGGAGGGAAGAAAAAUGGGAUGGGAAACGACCCAUUACUAUUUGUGAAAGUGACAAAAGAACCCAGGGAUUCUGAGGCUGAAAUCUAUACCCCUGGGCCUUCAGUUUGAGAGUCAUUUAGCCUAUAUGGAAUUACCUGUGACAUUACAUUCCAGAGAGAUGAGAAAUUCUGAGACCCUUAUUAUCGAUGUUUAUAUUGAAAAAAUGGUAAUAAAUAUUUUGAGACUCUCAG
rnacentral:lncRNA from 1 species